AUCUAGUUGACGAAUGCCGAAUAGGACGAAACGCUCGUCUUGCAU
rfam:Schistosoma mattheei strain Denwood, Zambia genome assembly, scaffold: SMTD_scaffold0000004